CACCGCCCGUCACACUAUAGGAGCUGGCCAUGUUUGAAGUCAUUACCCUUAACCGUAAGGAGGGGGAUGCCUAAGGCUAGGCUUGCGACUGGAGUGAAGUCCUAACAAGGUAGCCGUACUGGAAGGUGCGGCUG
rnacentral:ncRNA from 1 species